GCAGGUCUGAGCAAUGUCUAGCCUAACAGACCCAGGCUGAGGUGGGAUUCCUGACUACUUCUGGGCAGCUACUGACAAUACCUGGUCCUCUUCCACCCCCUUCUUAUCAUAUCCCAUUUUGUUCUCUUGCUGUCUUUUUUGACACUUUUUUGCUUUGCUUUCUUUCUCCACUUGGUUUGAGGUAAAGCAUGUGUCUUACUCUGUGUAUUUGCAGCAUAAUGGGGUCCCUAAACAAACUGGAAUGCAAGUCAAAGGGUGGAGAAGAAUGAGCCUGUACUUCAGGACAUUGAAAACCACCUUCCAGGUCUGGAUUUUGCCUGUGUGACUACAGCGCCCAGCCAUCUCCUUCAGAAAGUCAUUCCCUGUGCACGAUGGGCCUGAGCCAACAUACACUGAACUCUGUGGCAAUAUUCCUGUCGUUCGCAAUGAAUUUGAGACCUGAAGCUAAGGAUGAAAACCCUUGUCAGCU